rnacentral:rRNA from 1 species
CCAAUAGCGUAUAUUAAAGUUGUUGCAGUUAAAAAGCUCGUAGUUGAAUUUCGGGGUCAGUAGGUUGGUCGUGCCACCGGUACGUACUGGUCUCACUGAUUCCUCCUUCCUGAUGAGCUGUAAUGCCAUUAAUUUGGUGUUGCAGGGAAUCUGGACUGUUACUUUGAAAAAAUUAGAGUGUUUAAAGCAGGCUAACGCUUGAAUACAUUAGCAUGGAAUAAUGAAAUAGGACGUUCGAUCCUAUUUUGUUGGUUUCUAGGAUUGACGUAAUGAUUAAUAGGGAUAGUUGGGGGCAUUAGUAUUCAAUUGUCAGAGGUGAAAUUCUUGGAUUUAUUGAAGACUAACUACUGCGAAAGCAUUUGCCAAGGAUGUUUUCAUUAAUCAAGAACGAAAGUUAGGGGAUCGAAGACGAUCAGAUACCGUCGUAGUCUUAACCAUAAACUAUGCCGACUAGGGAUCGGAUGAUGUUAUUUUAAUGACUCAUUCGGCGCCUUACGAGAAA